UCCCUUACAUAAAGAAAUUUUAUGCCUAUAAUAAUAAGAUGAAGAAUUAUUAAUAUUAUUUUCAUGUUAUGUUCUACUUUGUUUCUGCCCAAAGGUGAUGCAAAGUAGAAUAAUUAAAGUUUUACAAAAUUAUCAAUUAAAAUAUCCCUAUUGAUGAUGUUUUGUAUUUAGCCAUAAUUUUCUUAGCUGUUUUAAGUACCCUCAAUAAGAAACGAGCUAAGUUUACUGAUAGAUUAUUUUUGUGAGGUCAUGAAUACUUAUUACGUGAAUAAACGCAAUAAGCUCCUAUUAGAGAAGCAUUGCUAAUUAAGAAAUUGAUAAGAAAUCUAUGAAUUUCUUGUCUAUUAACAACUAAUGGGAGGAAAUUAAAUUAAGCUAUCUUAUGAUCGAUGCCAGUAAAGAUCUGGGGGAGCAAAUCCCUUAGUCCAAUUAUGUUGUAAUUUCUCUGGCAAUAAUGGAGAAGUAAUUCUCAAAGCCUAAAGAUCAUAAGAAUAAAGCUAAGGAAUAAAGGGUCAUUGGAACCUUCUGAGUUCAUUUUAUUAUGUUGCCAAUCAUAAAGCAUUAUGAUUGAAGCUCAAACAAAUUUGUGCUCAUAAGAAAGAUUGGCAAAGUAAGAUAAAGCAUUACAGGUAUGAUGAUUAUUAUGACCUCAUAAAUAAGAAAGUUUAAGGUGAAGCCUUAAAAAUAAGGCAAAAUAAGGAAUGAAGGUUAAUGUUAGGUUAUUGGAAAUCUUUUUCAUAAAGUUAAGUUAGCAUCCUUCAUCCUAAUAAUGUGAAAUAUUUGUUAUGAAAGUUCAUCGAAAUAUGACUCUAUCGCUUAGUCCAUAUUUCGAGGGGGAGAGUUGAACUUCCCACUAUUAAGAAUAAAAGAUUUAUCAGGUAUGUCUAUAUUUUGUUUCUUUAAGUAAUUCCUUUACAUGAUUAUGUUAUGAAAGAUACUAAAAUUUGAGACACUUAUGUAUAUGUGGAGAUUUUGUAUUUAGUAUCUUGAUUUUUGUUAUUUAGCUUCCAUUAUGUUUUAGAAGGAAUAUAGUUACUAAUAUUGUUUAAAUAUUUCAUUGAAUCUAAAGUUUUAGUUAAUGACAUUAAGAGUUAUUAAGAAUGAGUGUUUGUUUUAAGACAAAAGUGAUUAAAGUAUAAUUAGAUUUAUCUUUUAAUGUUAAUGGCCUAAGUUAGCCAUCUUUUAAUAAUAAGCCUCACAUAAGUUUUAAGAAUCCUUUCUAUCUCAUGGAAGGAAGUUUGUAAUUUUCUAAUACUUAUGCUAAGUUUCUUUUAAUAGAGACAAUGCCUAAAUAUCACUAUAAAAUGAAAUAAUGAAAGGCACAAUCUUAUGUUCAUUUGGUAAGAUUCAUGUAAAAUAAGGAAUCAAUUAUUAUGAUAAGAUAUAUUAAAGGAAAGAAGUAUUUAUUACUGCACAUUAUUUAUUGAGGGUAUUAGCUUAUGAUGAACUAAAGUUCAAUAAGAAAUUUGGAUUAGUCAACAUCUUGUUGACAAUAAGCAAUAGGGAUAUUGUAUAUUAUAAGGAAUGAGUUUUAUCCUCAGGGAGUUAAAUUUAUUCUUGGUGAUGUUCCUUACGUUAUUUGAGUAUUAAGAUUCACCAAGAUUGAUCCAGAAAAUGGGAAUAUUAAGUAUUAUCCCCAAAACUAUAUUUACUCCCAUUAAGGGCAAUAAGUUCUCUUAUGUUGUGGCAGACAUAAGUGAUGUAUAUACCUAAGUUAUGAUAUGCCCUUAAAUUUUAAAGACCGAGAUAUCUGGCAAACAUGAGUCUAGGACUGGACCCCUAGAAAAUUGUCUAGAAUGCACUGCCUGUUGGCAUAAGUGCUAAAGAAGUUUUGUGCUAUAAGUAUAGCACUAAGGGAUUACAUGCUCACUUUUAAGAAAGUCUGGUAACCACCAAGUUAUGGGGUGUUCAGACAAUAAUGUUUCUUAGUAAAGGUGCAUUAAUGUCCACAAAAGUUGCACCCUUGUAGGGGAGCCAUAUUGUGGAAUGGCUUCACCCAACUCAGAACAUCAUUAAAGAUGUAGAUUAUUUUGUGGUAUGUUUAAUCCCAAAAACUGAUAUAUGGGUUUUUGUCCCUAAUCCAUAUUAUUUUUUGAGAAAAUAAGGGUUUUCUUAAGAAAUUUAUCCCGAAACUUAUUAUGUAAAGAGUGCAGUUUUAUUCGAGUAACAUGUCAAAGGGUAUUGCCAGGCCCAAGACAUUGUGAAAGAAUUAUUCCAGAAUCAAACAUUACAUGUUUCAUGGCCUUAAUGAUGUAUUAAGAUUUUAAGUUUUACUGCUCAACAAAUAAGUAUUGAAGAUAUAAGUGUUGAGCAUUUUAUAAGACUAAUGUUGAUGCUCAGUAUAUGUAAGAGUUAAGUAUUAAGAUACAAGUGCUGAGUAUCAUAAUUUAAAAGGCUUGCCUUACAAAGAUUGCCGGCAUAAAGAUUAAAUGGCAGCCUAUUAUUCAGGGACAAACUAUGAUUCUAGAAUAUGUUUGAUUUUCAAUUUUGAAGUGCGCACAUAAAGUUCAUAAGAAUAUAUGAAUGUAUAUGAAAAAUAAACUGCACUCUGGGAAUAAUUGUAGGGCGAUCUCCCCAUGAGCCUAAGCGGAAUCAUUUUGAUUUUGAAUGGGAACCAUGGUCACUUAGUCCUGUGGUACUUAAUUGACUACAGUGAUUGAUUGGUCUGGUGUACCUUCUUUUGAGAAAUGAGUCCAUAAGUUUUAUAUAAAGAAUAAAGAAUAAAGAAUAAGUUAUGGAGCUCCUAAGUUAAAGAAAUUCAUUUGAUAUGAGAUGGCAUACUAUAGCAACUGGGUUCAAUGGUAUGUGAUUCACCAUUGUAAUGCUUUUGUCUUGGUGCGUCAUUUUGUUGAGAAGUGAAUUUAUAAGUUUAGCCUUAUGAUCAAGGGGGAGAAUGUUGGGUUGAUCAUGUCGGCUGUGACAUCAUUAUUAAGUUGAUUAUGUCAGCAAUGACAUCAUCAUUAACUAACUACAGCUGUCAAUAAGAAGUCCAAAUUGGAUUUGGUCUCUUGAUUGGAGAGCACUAGAAGACCCUACAUGGAGUUAUCCCCCUAUGGUGCUGUGUAUAAAUAAGGGGCUGAGGUCUUUCUAAUGGUUAUGGAUUCUAUGAAACAAAAAUUAGACAACUUCAGCCAAAAACUACCCAAUCACAGUUUCUACACAGAAACCAUGGGAAGGACUCUCCUCUACCGAUCCACACGUCCUAGAAGCAAGAACAGAAGGAGUAACACAGAUGGGAGCUCAAGUUGUGCAGGAAGAAAAUAACUUGAUUCAAGCUACAAUCCUGCAUCUUGGUAAGUUUUUUUUAUACAUCCUAACUACUGUUCAUUACUUGAUCAUCAGACAUGUCAGCAAUAUUACUUAUCCCUGGUUGCUGCUUGCUUUUAGAAAACUUCAAUAUAUGAUAUAGAUUACUGGAUAUGGAUUCGAUGUGUCUCUACUUAAUUAUACCCAUACUUAACCAGGCUGCACAUUAAUGAUAUUACCUACUACUAAUUAGCUCCUUUGUUAAUAGAGUCCUAUGUAGUAUCUCCUGCUAUAGUAUGCACAUCGAAACCUUAUAUUGUUAUUUAUUCAGAUACUUGGAACUUCCUAAGGAUGAUCAGCAUGACUAGCAGGCCAAUGAUUCCUUUCCAACAAACAAAUUGUUUUACACUAUCUGCUGCUAUUUGUGAAUCGAGUAUUCUUGAGAUAGCUUCGAUGACAAAAAUCCCAACAUUGACUAUUACACUAUUGGUACAAACAAAUAAUGAGACUCCAUAUAUUUCUUCAUUCAGUUUUCCUUUUUUUCCCUUAAAAUAACUCAAUGUUGAAAAGUUAGCACUAUUGGUACUAACAAAUUCUUUUGUCAUUUUCUUGGUUCAUUUGGCACUUCGACCAAAGCUUCAGUUAGCAUCUUCUACGUGCAUCAGAUGCAUAAUAGUUCGUUCAGUUAAGUGUAUUGUUGAAAAGUUCCUAGAUUUUUUUUUUGAUGGUCAGAUAGGUGCAGAUCCAUUUAAUCUGUUUUUAGCAUAUUAUAUUUAUCAAAAUUGAUAUUCCAGGCAGUCUUGUUGCAUUUUAGUAUAUUAUUCAAUACUUUAUAAGUUUGACUACAGAUUUUAGGAUGAAUCUUAUUCUAUUCUUGAUUAUCAUAAAGGAGUACUUUAUGGCUAUUUAAUUUACAAGGGCAUAUGAGCAGAGCCAUUGCAGACCAUUUUCUUUGUUAACUUUGCUACACUUUACUGGUUCUCACAGUUCAUGAUGGAUUGUAAGGCAUUCAUGAUAGGGAAUGGGAAAUAACCUGUAAAAAGUAUUAAAAUCUUUUCCUGGCAGUUGAUUCUCAAUGUUGCAAUAGCUGAUAGGAAGUAAAAAAUGUUGAAAUCUUUUCUUUCAGCUGCAAAAAAUAUACUAAUUUAUCUACUGAAGUGCAAAAAAUGUUGAUUCUCAAUGUUGCAGUAGCAAAUAAGCAUUCACACGAUCAAGUCUACCACUUGCCCUGAGAAAGAGAGGCCAGCAAAAAAUGCAAGUGCUUGAGGUUGCACCGGUAGUAGUGGUGUAAAUAUAUAUGUCUAUUUUUUUACUGAUAGUGCCAGGUAAGUUCUUUUUGCUGUGUAUGACACCCAAUUAAUCAUUCAAUUGCUGGUUUUCUCAUACUUUGUUUAUAAAUUGCUAUGGUGAAAAUAUAUAAUGCUCAUCUUGUUCGGUAGAAAACCUUCAUAUUUCUUAGUUUUAAUGAUGUGCAGAUGAAACAAUUCUUAUGAAUCACCCUACAUUGCUAUGGUGAAAAUAAAGCAUUUAGUUUAGUAACUAAGUGCAUGUGGCACGUGCACCUCCACUAGUUACAUACAAGGAGUCAUUGGAAGUUUAGUCUGUUCAAAGUAUUUUUUUUUGCUUGUGUUACUAUUACGGUCUUAGUGGAAGUUUCAGUUGUACUAGUGGCCCCCUGUAGCUGCUUCAACCAUUUCUUUACUGGAUUAUCUUGUUCACUAAAGAUGUUCUUUUCUAUGUUGAGACAUGUUUGCUGAUAGUAACUAAGUAUCUUUUGGACUGAGCAAUGUUUGUUGGUAUGUGUUAAUCAUUUGGCAUGCUUCUUUACUAUCUCAAGGCCCUUGUGAAAAGCACAAACUGAAGCAUCACCACCUCACUUGCCUAACUUUUGCAUUUACAGACUCCUAAUGCAUGUUCAUUUCUGUAAUUUGUGUUGCUAGUUGAUCUGAUUGCUAACUGUUGCUAGUUAAUCCUACAGGUUUUUAUUCCCCUUUUCUGUUUUUUACCCCUUUGAUCAAACAAGCCUUCACUACCCCCAAACUAACUAUAAUUUUUUUUAUUGAUUCACAGGGAGCUAAGAUUCAUCAUACUUUCUCUUCUGAGAACAGCAUUAGCUUAUGUGUUGGCUGCCCUCGAGAAAUUUGCUGUUUUGUUCCUAAGGUAAAUGGUGUCAGACCAAAUGUUUGACAAAAUGCUUGAACCACAUAGGAGAGGCAACGACUAUCAUCUUGCUUUGUUUACAUGAGCUUUUUUAUUUUUCAAGGUAACAUUCCUAUCCAGACUGUCCUAUAGUUGCUCUACUACCUCUUGCUGGUAUAUGGCUAUAGAUUAAACUGGUUGAUAAAUAUAUCAUCUUCAAUUUGCUAAUGGCUAAUCUCCAGUUUUCUUCGUUGUGUAUUUCUGGGUGGCCAUGACUUCCUUUUUUUAGACAUGUGCCCAUAACUUAAUAGUUUGACCUAUUAUGCCAUUCAUUUU